ACCCUAUUGCCACUGCUUUCCAGUUUAACUCUUGCUCAUCUUCUUCCGCUUCUUCUUCUUCUUUAG
rnacentral:sRNA from 1 species